rnacentral:rRNA from 1 species
GGGAUGACACAGUAGGAUAAGCUAAGCACACUGUUGGUUAUGUGUGCCCAAGCAUUGAGGCAGUCAAAGUAGGCAAAUCCGCUUUGAUAAUGCUGGGAUGUGAUGGGGAGCGAAAUUUAGUAGCGAAGUAGCUGAUUUCACACUGUCAAGAAAAGUCUCUAUCGAGGUUAAAGGUACCCGUACCGCAAACCGACACAGGUGGGUGAGGAGAGUAUCCUAAGGCCAGCGAGAGAACUGUUGUUAAGGAACUCGGCAAAAUGACCCCGUAACUUAGGGAUAAGGGGUGCCACCAUCAGGUGGCCGCAGAGAAUAGGCCCAAGCGACUGUUUACCAAAAACAUAGGUUUCUGCUAAGUCGCAAGACGAUGUAUAGGAGCUGACGCCUGCCCGGUGCUGGAAGGUUAAGGGGAUCUGUUAGAGCAAUCGAAGCAGUGAACUUAAGCCCCAGUAAACGGCGGCCGUAACUAUAACGGUCCUAAGGUAGCGAAAUUCCUUGUCGGGUAAGUUCCGACCCGCACGAAAGGCGUAACGAUUUGGGCACUGUCUCAACAACAGACUCGGUGAAAUUGUAAUUCCGGUGAAGAUGCCGGAUACCUGCGACAGGACGGAAAGACCCCAUGGAGCUUUACUGUAGCUUGACAUUGGGUCUUGGUACUACAUGUACAGGAUAGGUGG